AGGACAGGAUAAAUGUGGGUCUUUGUUCUAUGUUUCAUAGGAAGGAUAAAGUGUGGGUCUUUGUUCUGUGUCAUAGGACAGGAUAAAGUGUGGGUCUUUGUUCUGUGUCAUAGGACAGGAUAAAGUGUGGGUCUUUGUUCUGUGUCAUAGGAC